CCAUAUGGAUUGCUUUUGAUAAACGUCAAGCCAAGCACUUGGGUCGAGUGGUGGUUUGCUCUAUCAUUGGUGUUGUGGUGGGCCUUAUCGUAUUUAUCUCAACUACUGUAACUUCCACCAAGGGAUAUGCAGGGGUUGGGAUGAACCCUGCAAGAUGUUUGGGUCCGGCUUUAAUUAGAGGCGGCCACCUUUGGAACGGACACUGGGUUUUUUGGGCUGGACCUGUCGUUGCUUGUGUAGCAUUUGCCCUCUAUACAAAGCUCAUUCCAAGUCAGCUGUUGCAUAAUUGAAUGCCUGAAACAAGGGUGGCAUAAAUAAGUAAUCUUUAAAUGAUGUAAGAACAUGGAUACUUAAUCAGUUUCGGAUGCUU
rnacentral:lncRNA from 1 species